GUAACCUUCAUUCAACAAUGAAUCCCCUCAAAGUGUAUCAAUGGCACUGCCAACCACAAUUUUUCCGUAUUUCACGAAAUACCCCUCUCCUUUCCAUCUCUCCUGGACUCAAAUUCCCCCUUAAAACAUUCACUCCUCCCUCUUCCUUCAAUCUUUUGUUACUUUAUUCGUUUAGACCCAGCUUGAAAAUAUCCUGUGUUUCAAGAGCUGAAACUUCGUUUUUUGAUAACAAACAAGAAGAUGAUAGUGCGAACCGGCUAUCAAAAUUGGAAGACUUGGCCCAAAAUGGGGUUGUUUACCAGAAUACACUGAGAUUGGUGGAGUGCUCCAUGUUCGCUGCUGUAACUGGGCUCGUGUAUUUCUUGAGCAAUUCUCUCUCAAUUGAGGUUUUCUUUUAUUUUUUUUUUCUAUAU
rnacentral:misc_RNA from 1 species